UGAAUAUUCAUUGGAUCAGGUGUCGAAAGACUUAAUAGGGAAUUCGGUAAACAAAUCGUUAACAGGAUGAUUUUUAUAUGCCGGAGCGGUCCCGCCACUGUGACAGCGAGUAACCCUGCAGGGAAGAUGUAUAUUUCCCUCACGCCACUGAGAGAAAAUUUCUUGGGAAGGCGCAGGCGAGCGAUGAACUGGAGCCAGGAGAACUGCCUGAUUAACAAUCACUGUU
rnacentral:ncRNA from 18 species